UUUAUGUUCUUGUCAGUUAUUUUGAUAAGUUAUUCUGAUGAGCUUAUGUUAAUUCAAACCUAUACAUUUAUUAACGUUAUCUAUUACCAUUUAUUGAGUUCUUAUUGCUAGUUCGUUUCUCAUCAAUUUUUUUUCUAAUACGGAUAUGCAAAACGAGAUGCCGAACCUCCAAAUAGACGUAAAGUGGAUGAAGAAGAAGGGAUCAGUAAGGGGCCUGUACAAAAUUUUUUGGAUGCAGAGCUUACAGCAAGACUAGAUUUCGUCCGCUAUAUCCAGGCUCAACCAAAUCAAGAUCCCUUAUUUAUAAAUUAAAUUCUGUCUACGGAUAUAACGACUUUUACCUGACGAGGAAUUUUCAACUUUAAAAACGAGCAUUCAUGCGAUAUUGCAAAUCCGAACCUCAUUACUGAAAGACACUUUCAACACGAAUUUAAAAUUAAUAUUUGGUGUGGUGUAAUAGACAAUUUUUUGAGGCUAUACAAGUUACCUCCAAAUCUAAAUGGAGAAUUAUAUUUAAAGCUUUUACAAACAAAACUUACUGAUUAUUUAUAAGUACAUUUAAAUAUCCGCCAAGAUAUGGUUUUUAUGCAAGAUGGUGCUCCUGCAUCAUUUUGCAAGACCGGUAACAGUAUCUUAAUGCUAAUUUUAGCUGGAUAGGAUCUGGAAGUCGAAGACCUUGGCCCGCAGGAAAUCCAGACUUUAACCCCUUAGACUUUUCCAUGGGGAUACAUGAAAUCAAUUGUUUACGAAAAUACAAUAAACACAAGAAAGCAAUUAAUGGUAAAAAUAUUGACUGCUACUGAAUCAUUUCAAAAUAAUUAAUUAUUCUUUAAGAUUCGACGGUCUUUCAGUAAAAGAAUUUUAAAAUGUAUUGAGACAAAUGGAGGUCAUGUCAAACAUUUACGGGCAAAUAUUCAUAAUUUUUAUUUUCAAUUUAUCUUUUGUAUUUUAUCACUUAUACGAAGUGUAAUACAGCAAUUUAAAUAUUUUAUGAAUGUAAUUUUUUUAAUGCAUUGACAACUUUAAAUGUAAAUAUCUCGAAAAGGGUGAAUUGUAGCGAAAUUUUUGAAGGACAGCUUUUUUAAGCAAAAUUCAUAGUUUAAAUAAAGUACUGAAUUAUGCCACAA
rnacentral:lncRNA from 1 species